rnacentral:lncRNA from 1 species
CACACAUUUACUUAAAUCCCCUUUCCCACUGGACAGCCAGCUCCUUGGGGCAGAGACCUGUCCUACUCAUGUCUGUGAUCACAACUGCCUGCAUAUUUCAUCCUCACAGGAUGUUUGCCCAAGGUAUUACACCCAUCCACAUCUGAUGCCAGAGGAGCACAUGAGCCACGCCUCUGCCACAGAGAGCUCCGUCCCAGUGGGUGAUAUAUUUUCUCUGAACUAUUCCUGGAAAAUAUUCCAGAAGACAAAUCAGCAACAGGAUGAAAGAGAUGGGUCUCACUAUGUUGCUUAGGCUGAUCCUGAACUCAUGGGCUCCAACGACCCUCCCACCUCAGCUUCUUAGUACCUGGGACUACAGAUGUGUCCUCGCGUACCAGUGUGGGCCUCGGAGCCUGCGGGAGAAAGCGUGAGCUCCUCAAGACAUAAGAAGUGGAAAGGGCAGCGGACGAGGCCAGUGACCGGCUUUCUGACACUGGAUCAGUCGCCUAGCCCACCUGCCUCCCUCGUAACACAGGGCUGACAGUCAUCUCAUGGAUGGGAAAAUUCUUAAAUGCCAAG